rnacentral:rRNA from 1 species
GACGAACGCUGGCGGCGUGCUUAACACAUGCAAGUCGAACGAUGAAGCCGGAGCUUGCUCUGGUGGAUUAGUGGCGAACGGGUGAGUAACACGUGAGUACCCUGCCCUUGACCCUGGGAUAAGCGUUGUAAACGACGUCUAAUACCGGAUACGAGCUAGGACCGCAUGGUCACUAGCUGGAAAGAACUUCGGUCAAGGAUGGACUCGCGGCCUAUCAGCUAGUUGGUGAGGUAACGCCUCACCAAGGCGACGACGGGUAGCCGGCCUGGGAGGGUGACCGGCCACACUGGGACUGAGACACGGCCCAGACUCCUACGGGAGGCAGCAGUGGGGAAGAUUGCACAAUGGGCGCAAGCCUGAUGCAGCAACGCCGCGUGGGGGACGACGGCCUUCGGGUUGUAAACCUCUUUUAGCAGGGAAGAAGCGCAAGUGACGGUACCUGCAGAAAAAGCACCGGCUAACUACGUGCCAGCAGCCGCCGUAACAC